GAGCCACUAGCUCAACCGGCAGAGCAACGGCCUUUUAAGCCGUGGGUACCGAGUUCGAGUCUCGGGUGGCUCA
rnacentral:tRNA from 1 species